rnacentral:rRNA from 1 species
AACGAACGCUGGCGGCGUGCCUAACACAUGCAAGUCGUGCGAGAAAGUUCCUUCGGGAGCGAGUAAAGCGGCGCACGGGUGAGUAACACGUAGGUAACCUGCCCCCCAGUCUGGAACAACUAGAGGAAACUCUAGCUAAUGCCGGAUGAGACCACGAUCCCUUCGGGGGUUGCGGCCAAAGAUGGCCUCUACUUGUAAGCUAUCGCUGAGGGAUGGGCCUGCGGGCCAUUAGCUUGUUGGUGAGGUAACGGCUCACCAAGGCUGUGAUGGCUAGCUGGUCUGAGAGGAUGACCAGCCACACUGGGACUGAGACACGGCCCAGACUCCUACGGGAGGCAGCAGUGGGGAAUAUUGGACAAUGGGCGCAAGCCUGAUCCAGCCAUGCCGCGUGAGUGAUGAAGGCCCUAGGGUUGUAAAGCUCUUUCGACGGGGACGAUAAAUGAACGGUACCCGUAAGGAAGAAGCCCCCGGCUAACUUCGUGCCAGCAGCCGC